rnacentral:lncRNA from 1 species
UCAAUUAAUGCGUUCCUAUGGUCAAAAAAAGUCCAAUCAAAGCCAAAUUUGGUACAACAAUAGUUUAUUAACUGCUCUUUAAAGUCACACAUACUUUAAAGAGCAUAUCAAAAAUUGAAGGAACAAUAAAUUAAGUUUCUAAACAUGACAGAAAAACAUUUAAAAAUCAACAAAGUGUACUGUACAUACAUUUUCUAAGACUCUGGGGACCACUCGAAGAAGGUUCCUCUUCCACUCUUUGCUUCUUGCUGAGGAACCUGUCCAUGGUCUGCUGCUUCAUCCGCCUUUUCAGCAGCUCCCUGAGAGGCAACAUGACCGUCGUAUCAAAAGUGUUCGCUUGGUCAUGUGCCACGUGCUUGUUAGGGUGGUGCCGCUCUGCAAAAGCCUGCACCUCCUUCCACUUCUGGCAAAUGUCCCUCAGUUCUUUGGAGGACGGCCGUUCCUCAGUUGCUUCCUCCUCUUCCAGCGAGGCCUGCUCCUGCGCAACCUCUGACUGCAGUUCAACCAGCUCCUGGGUGGUCAGCUCGUGGUCGUGCUCCUCCACCAGCUCGCAGACGUCCUCCUCUGUGACCUCCAGGCCCAUGGUCCUCCCCAAGGCAACAAUGUCCUGCACCACUGUUGACUCUGGUGCAUCAGAGUCACUUGGUGCCACACAGUCCGGCCACAGGCUGCGCCAAGCGCAAUUCAAAUUUCUCUGGCUGAUCCCGUUCCAGGCCGUGGUGAUCAUCUUCAAGCAGGUGACGAUGUCGAAGUGGUCCUUCCAGAAUUCCCGCAGGGUGAUGGUGGUGCAAUCAGUCACCUCGAAGCAUCGCCUGAAAAGCUCCUUGGUGUAGAGUUUUUGAAAUUGGCGAUGACCUGCUGAUCCAUCGGCUGGAGCAGUGGCGUGGUGUUAGGCGGCAGGAACAUGAUGUUGAUGAAGCUGAACUCCUCCAACAAGUCCACCUCAAGGCCUUUAGGAUGAGCAGGAGCAUUGUCCAUCAGAAGCAAAGCCUUCAGCGGCAGGUCGUUGUCCAGCAGGUACUGUUUGACAGCAGGGCCAAAAGCAAGAUUGACCCAGUCCACAAACAGCACACGUGUGACCCAAGCCUUGCUGUUGGAUCGCCACAUGACACUCAGCCGCUCCUUGUCGACCUUGUGUUUCUUGAAGGCCCGUGGGUUCUCCGAGUGGUACACCAGCAGGGGCUUGAUCUUCAGAUCGCCGCUUGCGUUGGCACAGAAGAGCAGGGUCAGACGGUCCUUCAUGGGCUUGUGGCCAGGCAACUUGGCCUCCUCCUGUGUGAGGAAAGUCCUUUUGGGCAUCCUCUUCCAAAACAGCCCGGUCUCGUCGCAGUUGAAGACCUGCUGUGGAACGUAGCCCUCUGUCUUCACAGCCUCCAGGAACUCCAAGGCAAAGUCUUCAGCCGCAGGAACAUCAGAACUGGCAGCCUCUCCAUGCCUGACCACGCUGUGGAUUCCAGAUCUUGCCUUGAACCGGUCAAACCAGCCUCUGCUUGCCUUGAAGACUUCUGGCUCGCCUGAGGUUCCUGGCUGUUCCCGGAUGAGGUCUGCGUGCAAGGCCUUGGCCUUCUCACAAAUGACGGCCUCAGUCACUGUGUCCCCUGCACGCUGCUUCUCUUCUAACCAGAUGAGCAGCAACUUCUCGACCUCCUCCAGAACAGCUGGGCGGUUCUUCACGAUCCUGGUGACUCCCUUGGCUGCAUCAGUCGCAAGGAUCUUCUCCCUCAUCUUCAGGAUGGUCCCGAUGGUCGAUGGGUUCCUGCCGUACUCCCUGGCGAGGUCCGUCACACGCAUUCCACCGUCGUGCUUCCAGAUGAUCUCCUUCUUCAUUUCCAGCGUCACCUUCUCCUUCUUCCUCUCGCCGGCCUCCGCAGCAGCAGCAGUCUUCUUGGGUCCCAUGGCAGCACAGCUCUUACCUUCGUAAACUC